GACGAACGCUGGCGGCGUGCCUAAUACAUGCAAGUAGAACGCUGAAGGAGGAGCUUGCUUCUCUGGAUGAGUUGCGAACGGGUGAGUAACGCGUAGGUAACCUGCCUGGUAGCGGGGGAUAACUAUUGGAAACGAUAGCUAAUACCGCAUAAUAGUAGAUGUUGCAUGACAUUUGCUUAAAAGGUGCAAUUGCAUCACUACCAGAUGGACCUGCGUUGUAUUAGCUAGUUGGUGGGGUAACGGCUCACCAAGGCGACGAUACAUAGCCGACCUGAGAGGGGGAUCGGCCACACUGGGACUGAGACACGGCCCAGACUCCUACGGGAGGCAGCAGUAGGGAAUCUUCGGCAAUGGACGGAAGUCUGACCGAGCAACGCCGCGGGAGUGAAGAAGGUUUUCGGAUCGUAAAGCUCUGUUGUAAGAGAAGAACGAGUGUGAGAGUGGAAAGUUCACACUGUGACGGUAUCUGACCAGAAAGGGACGGCUAACUACGUG
rnacentral:rRNA from 1 species